UAUUGCACAAUGGGGGAAACCCUGAUGCAGCGACGCCGCGUGAGCGAAGAAGUAUUUCGGGAUGUAAAGCACUAUCAGCAGGGAAGAAAAUGACGGUACCUGACUAAGAAGCUCCGGCUAAAUACGCUCCAGCAGCCGCGGUAAUACGUAUGGAGCAAGCGUUAUCCGGAUUUACUGGGUGUAAAGGGAGCGUAGGCGGUAAGGCAAGUCUGAUGUGAAAGGCCAGGGCUCAACCCUGGAACUGCAUUGGAAACUGUUUAACUGGAGUGUAGGAGAGGCAAGUGGAAUUCCUAGUGUAGCGGUGAAAUGCGUAGAUAUUAGGAGGAACACCAGUGGCGAAGGCGGCUUGCUGGACGAUGACUGACGCUGAGGCUCGAAAGCGUGGGGAGCAAACAGG
rnacentral:rRNA from 1 species